rnacentral:rRNA from 1 species
AACGAACGCUGGCGGCAUGCCUAACACAUGCAAGUCGAACGAGACCUUCGGGUCUAGUGGCGCACGGGUGCGUAACGCGUGGGAACCUGCCCUUAGGUUCGGACUAACUCCCCGAAAGGGGUGCUAAUACCGGAUAAUGUCUUCGGACCAAAGAUUUAUCGCCUUUGGAUGGGCCCGCGUUGGAUUAGCUAGUUGGUAGGGUAAAAGCCUACCAAGGCGACGAUCCAUAGCUGGUCUGAGAGGAUGAUCAGCCACACUGGGACUGAGACACGGCCCAGACUCCUACGGGAGGCAGCAGUGGGGAAUAUUGGACAAUGGGCUAAAGCCUGAUCCAGCAAUGCCGCGUGAGUGAUGAAGGCCUUAGGGUUGUAAAGCUCUUUUACCCAGGAUGAUAAUGACAGUACCGGGAGAAUAAGCUCCGGCUAACUCCGUG